rnacentral:lncRNA from 1 species
CACAUUUAGCGCACUCAGCCAAUUUUUCCAAAUUUUUCUUUGACCCCUUCUUUUCCGAACCGUAAUGUUCGUCAAGAACUCGCAUAUGCCUCCUGGACAGAUCAAUGAAAUAAUGCCGUUUCAGUUUCUCCAGAGACGGAGAACACUGAAAUCGACAGUGAUAACACUGAAAUACCUGCAAAACAACAAAUAUUAAAAAUUUAUUAGAAAUUUAUUUUUCUAUUAUAAAAAUAAUUAAAAACAAUCAAAUACAAGUUACCCUUUUUCCAGCUUCCUCUUUUUUUU